rnacentral:snRNA from 1 species
GACCGGGCCUAAGUUCCCUG